AGAGUUUGAUCCUGGCUCAGAACGAACGCUGGCGGCGUGCUUAACACAUGCAAGUCGAACGAGAAAGCUUUCUUCGGAAAGUGAGUAGAGUGGCGCACGGGUGAGUAACGCGUAGGUAAUCUAUCCUUACAUUUGGGAUAACAUCGGGAAACUGGUGCUAAUACCGAAUGGUCUUCAUUGCUUUGGGGCGAUGGAGUAAAGGUGGCCUCUUCAUGAAAGCUACCGUGUAGGGAUGAGCCUGCGUACCAUUAGCUAGUAGGUGGGGUAAUGGCCCACCUAGGCUACGAUGGUUAGCGGGUCUGAGAGGAUGAUCCGCCACACUGGAACUGAAACACGGACCAGACUCCUACGGGAGGCAGCAGUGAGGAAUAUUGCGCAAUGGGGGAAACCCUGACGCAGCGGCGCCGCGUGAGUGAGGAAGGUUUUCGGAUCGUAAAGCUCUGUCAGAAGGGAAGAAGUGUUAUAUGGUUAAUACCCGUAUAAUUUGACGGUACCUUCAGAGGAAGCACCGGCUAACUCCGUGCCAGCAGCCGCGGUAAUACGGAGGGUGCAAGCGUUGUUCGGAAUUACUGGGCGUAAAGGGCGCGUAGGCGGCCUGAUAAGUCAGAUGUGAAAGUCCACGGCUCAACCGUGGAAGUGCAUUUGAAACUGUCAGGCUUGAGUAUCGGAGGGGAGUGUGGAAUUCCCGGUGUAGAGGUGAAAUUCGUAGAGAUCGGGAGGAACACCGGUGGCGAAGGCGACACUCUGGACGAAUACUGACGCUGAGGCGCGGAAGCGUGGGGAGCAAACAGGAUUAGAUACCCUGGUAGUCACGCCGUAAACGAUGUGAACUAGGGAUAGGGGGUGUUGAUCCCUCCUGUCCCGCAGCUAACGCAUUAAGUUCACCGCCUGGGGAGUACGGUCGC
rnacentral:rRNA from 1 species